rnacentral:rRNA from 1 species
GUGUCAGCAGCCGCGGUAAAACGUAGGAGACAAACGUUAUCCGGAGUUACUGGGCGUAAAGGGCGUGUAGGCGGUUUGUUAAGUCUGGCGUGAAAGCUCUCGGCUAAACCGGGAGAGGUCGUUGGAUACUGGCGAACUAGAGGAUGGUAGAGGCGUGUGGAAUUCCGGGUGUAGUGGUGAAAUGCGUAGAGAUCCGGAGGAACACCAGUGGCGAAGGCGACACGCUGGGCCAUACCUGACGCUAAAGCGCGACAGCAUGGGGAGCAAACGGGAUUAGAUACCCCGGUAGUCC